rnacentral:rRNA from 1 species
GUGUCAGCAGCCGCGGUAAGACAGAGGUGGCAAGCGUUGUUCGGAUUUAUUGGGCGUAAAGCGAACGCAGGCGGUUUGGUAAGUCAGAGGUGAAAGACCACAGCUUAACUGUGGUAUUGCCUUUGAUACUGCCUUUCUUGAGUGGAGUAGGGGGAAGCGGAAUUCCGAGUGUAGAGGUGAAAUUCGUAGAUAUUCGGAGGAACACCGGUGGCGAAGGCGGCUUCCUGGACUCUAACUGACGCUCAUGUUCGAAAGCGUGGGUAGCAAACAGGAUUAGAUACCCCUGUAGUCC